UCAAGCUAGAAAGAGCGCAAGGUGGAUGCCUUGGCACCAGGAGCCGAAGAAGGACGUGACAAGCUGCGAUAAGCUGCGGUGAGGCGCAAAUAGCCUGUGACCCGCAGAUUUCCGAAUGGGGGAACCCACCUGGGGUAAAUACCCAGGUAUCCUAUGGUGAACACAUAGCCAUAGGAGGGGAGACGUGGGGAACUGAAACAUCUAAGUACCCACAGGAGAAGAAAUCAACCGAGAUUCCGCAAGUAGUGGUGAGCGAACGCGGAGGAGGCCAAACCGACGGACUUCGGUCUGUUGGGGUUGCGGACCAGCGAAAUGACCUGAAGGUUUAGCGGAAUGAGCGGAUGGAAAACCGAGACCACAGAGGGUAAAAGUCCCGUACGCGAAAGACCUGAGGGCAGGCUGGGAUCCAGAGUACCACGAGACACGGGGAAUCUUGUGGGAAGCAGGGGGGACCACCCUCCAAGCCUAAAUACUCCCUGGUGACCGAUAGCGGAGGAGUACCGUGAGGGAAAGGUGAAAAGAACCCCGGGAGGGGAGUGAAAGAGAACCUGAAACCUUGUGCUUACAAGCAGUCGGAGGGCGUUAAAGCCUGACGGCGUACUUUUUGUAGAACGGUCCGGCGAGUUAUUGUAUAUGGCGAGGUUAAGCACUUAAGGUGCGGAGCCGAAGGGAAACCGAGUCUGAAGAGGGCGGUUAAGUCAUAUGCAAUAGACCCGAAACCGGGUGACCUAUCCAUGGUCAGGCUGAAGUUGGAGUAAAAUCCAAUGGAGGGCCGAACCCACUCCCGUUGAAAAGGUAGGGGAUGAACUGUGGAUAGGGGAGAAAUUCCAAUCGAACCCGGAGAUAGCUGGUUCUCCUCGAAAUAGCUUUAGGGCUAGCCUCAGAUUAGUCUAUCGGAGGUAAAGCACUGACUGGGCUAGGGGCCUUACCAGGUUACCGAACCCUAUCAAACUCUGAAUGCCGAAUAGAUGAUGUCUGGGAGUCAGACUAUGGGGGAUAAGCUUCAUGGUCAAAAGGGAAACAGCCCAGAUCGCCGACUAAGGUCCCGAAGUCAUGGUUAAGUGGGAAAGGAUGUGGGUUUGCUAAGACAACUAGGAUGUUGGCUUAGAAGCAGCCACUCAUUCAAAGAGUGCGUAACAGCUCACUAGUCGAGUGAGCCUGCGCCGAAAAUUCAACGGGGCUAAAACCAUGCACCGAAGUCGCGAAUCUUGGAGGUGCGAUGUGAGAAGUGAGAGAUGAGAAAUGGGGAAAGAUGAAUGAUAAAGUCUUACAGAGACUUGGAAGUUUACCAGGACUCGUACAGCUUGGCAUUACAGAUUCACAAAUUAACGCAAGAGUACCCUGAGUAUGAAAGGUAUGAAAUUGGCAGACAGUUAAGGAAAGCAGCCUUUUCAAUACCAAUGAAUAUAGCAGAAGGGUAUGGGAAAAAAGAAUCAGAAGUUGAAUUCAAAAGAUUUCUGAGGAUGUCGUUAGGAUCAUGUAAUGAAGUACAAGUCUUGAUAGAUAUGAGCAAAGAUCUUCGCUAUAUAGGCGAAGAAGCUCACAAGAAGUUAUGGGAAGGCUAUGAAGUGCUUGGAAAGAAAAUAAGCACGCUAAUAAAGAAAUGGUCAUAAAUCCCACCUCUCACAUCUGACAUCACACCUCCAAGGUGGUAGAGGAGCUUAAUAUACGGGUUGAAGCACGACCGAAAGGACGUGUGGACUGUAUAUUAGUGAGAAUGCCGGAAUGAGUAGCGAGAGUAAAGUGAGAAUCUUUACCGCCGAAAGUCUAAGGUUUCCUGGGGAAGGUUCGUCCGCCCAGGGUAAGUCGGGGCCUAAGCCGAGGCCGAAAGGCGUAGGCGAUGGACAACUGGUUGAAAUUCCAGUACCACCGAUGCUCGUUUGAGAGACGCGGGGACGCAGGGGGAUAGGUCGUGCCAGCUGCUGGGAUAGCUGGUCCAAGCGAGGUAGGUAGUCCUGUAGUGAAGUACGCAGGAUGUUCCGAAGGCGUGAUGGGGAGGGAAAAUAGAGUACCGAAGUGACUGAAUCCGCACUGACGAGAAAAGCCGCUAUCGAGAGCAGAGGUGCCCGUACCGCAAACCGACACAGGUAGACGAGGAGAGAAUCCUAAGGCGAGCGGAAGAAGGGUUGUUAAGGAACUCGGCAAAUUGAUCCCGUAAGUUCGCGAGAAGGGAUGCCACAGAGAUGUGGCCGCAGAGAAAUGGCCCAAGCAACUGUUUAGCAAAAACACAGGUCUCUGCUAAAUCGAAAGAUGAAGUAUAGGGGCUGACGCCUGCCCGGUGCUGGAAGGUUACGGGGAUCUGUUAGCGUAAGCGAAGCAGUGAACUUAAGCCCCAGUAAACGGCGGCCGUAACUAUAACGGUCCUAAGGUAGCGAAAUUCCUUGUCGGGUAAGUUCC
rnacentral:rRNA from 1 species